ACGGUUCAGGCAAGUUCUACUUAACUCUACUAAGAGUGUUUUAUUCAGAUAUGCUUAUGGUUAAUCAUUGCUGAUUGCCAUGUAGAAUUGUACUCUGUACAUCUUGUAUGUAUAAGUCAGGUAUGAAAGGCUGAUCACCUUCAUUACCAGUUGGUCCAGAUAUAUAUUGUUCAUAUGUAAUACUUGUUCAGUCAAAAGUUUGUUCAUGCUAAUUCACAACUACAUUGUGAAUUAUAGCCAGCUUAUUAUUCUAAAUCUUUCAAUCAUGAUAUAUCCUUAAAUUGUAUUUAAACUUGCUGGGCA
rnacentral:lncRNA from 1 species